rnacentral:piRNA from 1 species
UAAUUCUUCAAUGAUUGAUUA